GAUGAACGCUAGCGGCAGGCUUAACACAUGCAAGUCGAGGGGCAGCGGGUGUAGCAAUACAUGCCGGCGACCGGCGAAAGGGUGAGUAACGCGUGAGCAACGUGCCCGUAUGUGGGGGAUAGUCGAUGGAAACGUCGCGUAAUACCCCGUAACACAGAUCCUCGCAUGGGGAUUUGUUGAAAGAUUUAUUGCAUACGGAUCGGCUCGCGUGCCAUUAGGUAGACGGCGGGGUAACGGCCCACCGUGCCGACGAUGGCUAGGGGUUCUGAGAGGAAGGUCCCCCACAUUGGAACUGAGACACGGUCCAGACUCC
rnacentral:rRNA from 1 species